rnacentral:rRNA from 1 species
UAGGGAAUCUUCCACAAUGGACGCAAGUCUGAUGGAGCAACGCCGCGUGAGUGAAGAAGGUUUUCGGACCGUAAAGCUCUGUUGUUGGUGAAGAAGGAUAGAGGUAGUAACUGGCCUUUAUUUGACGGUAAUCAACCAGAAAGUCACGGCUAACUACGUGCCAGCAGCCGCGGUAAUACGUAGGUGGCAAGCGUUGUCCGGAUUUAUUGGGCGUAAAGCGAGCGCAGGCGGAAGAAUAAGUCUGAUGUGAAAGCCCUCGGCUUAACCGAGGAAUUGCAUCGGAAACUGUUUUCUUGAGUGCAGAAGAGGAGAGUAGAACUCCAUGUGUAGCGGUGGAAUGCGUAGAUAUAUGGAAGAAUACCAGUGGCGAAGGCGGCUCUCUGGUCUGCAACUGACGCUGAGGCUCGAAAGCAUGGUAGCGAACAGGAUUAGAUACCCUGGUAGUCCAUGCCGUAAACGAUGAGUGCUAAGUGUUGGGAGGCUUCCGCCUCUCAGUGCUGCAGCUAACGCAUUAAGCACUCCGCCUGGGGAGUACGACCGCAAGG